GGCGAACGCUGGCGGCGUGCCUAAUACAUGCAAGUUGAGCGAUGAAGAUUGGUGCUUGCACCAAUUUGAAGAGCAGCGAACGGGUGAGUAACGCGUGGGGAAUCUGCCUUUGAGCGGGGGACAACAUUUGGAAACGAAUGCUAAUACCGCAUAACAACUUUAAACAUAAGUUUUAAGUUUGAAAGAUGCAAUUGCAUCACUCAAAGAUGAUCCCGCGUUGUAUUAGCUAGUUGGUGAGGUAAAGGCUCACCAAGGCGAUGAUACAUAGCCGACCUGAGAGGGUGAUCGGCCACAUUGGGACUGAGACACGGCCCAAACUCCUACGGGAGGCAGCAGUAGGGAAUCUUCGGCAAUGGACGAAAGUCUGACCGAGCAACGCCGCGUGAGUGAAGAAGGUUUUCGGAUCGUAAAACUCUGUUGGUAGAGAAGAACGUUGGUGAGAGUGGAAAGCUCAUCAAGUGACGGUAACUACCCAGAAAGGGACGGCUAACUACGUG
rnacentral:rRNA from 1 species